rnacentral:rRNA from 1 species
CGUUCAACCUCAAAAGAAGCAGAGGGGGCUUAGUGGUGGGGUGACUGCGUACCUUUUGUAUAAUGGGUCAGCGACUUAUAUUCUGUAGCAAGGUUAACCGAAUAGGGGAGCCGGAGGGAAACCGAGUCUUAACCGGGCGUUAAGUUGCAGGGUAUAGACCCGAAACCCGGUGAUCUAGCCAUGGGCAGGUUGAAGGUUGGGUAACACUAACUGGAGGACCGAACCGACUAAUGUUGAAAAAUUAGCGGAUGACCUGUGGCUGGGGGUGAAAGGCCAAUCAAACCGGGAGAUAGCUGGUUCUCCCCGAAAGCUAUUUAGGUAGCGCCUCGUGAAUUCAUCUCCGGGGGUAGAGCACUGUUUCGGCUAGGGGGCCAUCCCGGCUUACCAACCCGAUGCAAACUGCGAAUACCGGAGAAUGUUAUCACGGGAGACACACGGCGGGUGCUAACGUCCGUCGUGAAGAGGGAAACAACCCAGACCGCCAGCUAAGGUCCCAAAGUCAUGGUUAAGUGGGAAACGAUGUGGGAAGGCCCAGACAGCCAGGAUGUUGGCUUAGAAGCAGCCAUCAUUUAAAGAAAGCGUAAUAGCUCACUGGUCGAGUCGGCCUGCGCGGAAGAUGUAACGGGGCUAAACCAUG